rnacentral:misc_RNA from 1 species
UCCGGCUUAACGCCGGCAGUCUCGCUAGAGUGCCCGGCAUGACCCGCUGGCAACUAACGACGAGGGUUUCGCUCGUUAAGGGACUUAACCCGACACUUCACAGCACGAGCUGACGACAGCCAUGCAACACCUGUGCACGUUUCACCCCGAAGGGCAGCCUAUCUGAGUUCUCCCCAAAAGGCAUCCGUGCAUGUCAAACCCGGGUAAGGUUCUUCGCGUUGCUUCGAAUUAAGCCACAUGCUCCACCGCUUGUGUGAGCCCCCGUCAAUUCCUUUGAGUUUUAGCCUUGCGGCCGUACUCCCCAGGCGGCACACUUAGCACUUUUGCUCCGGCGUCGAAAUCGUCAGAGAUCCCGGCGCCUAGUGUGCAUCGUUUACGGCGUGGACUAC